rnacentral:rRNA from 1 species
CCUACGGGUGGCUGCAGUAGGGAAUCUUCGACAAUGGACGCAAGCCUGAUCGAGCGAUGCCGCGUGAGUGAAGAAGGCCUUCGGGUCGUAAAGCUCUGUUGCGAGUGAAAAAAGACAGCGUCAGGAAAUGGGUGCUGUCUGAUGGUGCCCCGCCAGAAAGUCACGGCUAACUACGUGCCAGCAGCCGCGGUAAUACGUAGGUGGCGAGCGUUGUCCGGAAUGAUUGGGCGUAAAGGGUGCGCAGGCGGUCCUGCAAGUCUGGUGUGAAAGGCAUGGGCUCAACCCAUGCAUGGCAUGGGAAACUGGAGGACUGGAGAGCAGGAGAGGGCGGUGGAACUCCAUGUGUAGCGGUAAAAUGCGUAGAUAUAUGGAAGAACACCAGUGGCGAAGGCGGCCGCCUGGUCUGCUGCUGACGCUGAGGCACGAAAGCGUGGGGAGCAAAUAGGAUUAGAUACCCGAGUAGUC